GGUCCAGGGGAAAAGAAGAAGAAGAAGCGAUAUGAAGAAGACCCAAGUGUUGACCCAUUGCACAUACAUUGAAAUUCAUAGUGAUGUUUUAUUUAAUCAUUGGGAAUGACGAAGACAUAUGCAGAAUUCCACGGCAUUGAUCUACAUGAUUUAAAGCAGACGAUUGUCGCAAUAAAAUCCUUAACGAUGUUUUAAAAGGAAAGUAAAGAAAAAAGGAUGGACAAGUGGCCAGUGAACAUAUUCUGAAUUUCAUAGAGAUGUUUCAUUUUGUCAGCCUAAGCAAAAAAGUUCAGUGCACAUGCACUUAGUGCAUUCUCUGAUUUUUGCAAUGAUGAAGACAAACGUGUAAGAUGAGUACACAUAAACUCAGAAAUCUUUUCUUAGCAAUAUUUGAUAAUUAUGUUGUGGACAAAAUGUGCAUCUUGCCUUACUGAAACUGGGAUAAAUGUUUAAACAUCUGCAGGAGUAAAUGAAAACCUACUAGUCUCAAAUUCCAGCUAAAACCAGAAUUCCUCAAGAGACCAAUGUGUUUUAUGUGAGUGAUAUCACUGUUUUUGCAAUUUUGUAAAUACUUAAAUCAUUAUAAUUUAUGAGUUUGAUUGUUCAUCUUAGGGUUUUUUAUACUUACAUGUAUAAUAUUUCUAUUUGUACUUUAAUAUCAUGUUAACCAUGUAACAAUGUUCACAGUGCACUGACAGCUUUAUAAAGGGACCUCUUCAGAAAUUCCAUUUAUGUUAAAACUUUCUACACAGAAAAAGUAUUCCGAUAUUUGUUGACAACACAGGAACAUCUAUCGCAACAUCUUAAUUCUUGAAUUGAAUAUUUGGUACAUGUUUUAUGUACAUUAUUUGUACAGUGAAAAAUAUUGUUAAUAAAUAAUUUUAGAUUG
rnacentral:misc_RNA from 1 species